AGAGUUUGAUCAUGGCUCAGGACGAACGCUGGCGGCGUGCUUAACACAUGCAAGUCGAACGGAAAGGCCCUUCGGGGUACUCGAGUGGCGAACGGGUGAGUAACACGUGGGUGAUCUGCCCUGCACUUUGGGAUAAGCCUGGGAAACUGGGUCUAAUACCGAAUAGGACCGCAUGCUUCAUGGUGUGUGGUGGAAAGCUUUUGCGGUGUGGGAUGGGCCCGCGGCCUAUCAGCUUGUUGGUGGGGUAAUGGCCUACCAAGGCGACGACGGGUAGCCGGCCUGAGAGGGUGUCCGGCCACACUGGGACUGAGAUACGGCCCAGACUCCUACGGGAGGCAGCAGUGGGGAAUAUUGCACAAUGGGCGCAAGCCUGAUGCAGCGACGCCGCGUGAGGGAUGACGGCCUUCGGGUUGUAAACCUCUUUCAGUAGGGACGAAGCGAAAGUGACGGUACCUACAGAAGAAGGACCGGCCAACUACGUGCCAGCAGCCGCGGUAAUACGUAGGGUGCGAGCGUUGUCCGGAAUUACUGGGCGUAAAGAGCUCGUAGGUGGUUUGUCGCGUUGUUCGUGAAAACUCACAGCUUAACUGUGGGCGUGCGGGCGAUACGGGCAGACUAGAGUACUGCAGGGGAGACUGGAAUUCCUGGUGUAGCGGUGGAAUGCGCAGAUAUCAGGAGGAACACCGGUGGCGAAGGCGGGUCUCUGGGCAGUAACUGACGCUGAGGAGCGAAAGCGUGGGGAGCGAACAGGAUUAGAUACCCCGGUAGUCCAA
rnacentral:rRNA from 1 species